rnacentral:rRNA from 1 species
GGGGGCCCGCAAGUGGUGGAGCAUGUGGUUUAAUUCGAUGAUACGCGAGGAACCUUACCUAGGCUAGAAUGCGCGUGACCGGCUCAGAGAUGAGCUUUUCCUUCGGGACACAAAGCAAGGUGCUGCAUGGCCGUCGUCAGCUCGUGCCGUGAGGUGUUGGGUUAAGUCCCGUAACGAGCGCAACCCCUAUGUUUAGUUGCCAGCAUGUAAUGAUGGGGACUCUAGACAGACUGCCUGCGCAAGCAGUGAGGAAGGCGGGGACGACGUCAGGUCAUCAUGGCCCUUACGCCUAGGGCGACACACGUGCUACAAUGGACGGUACAGCGGGUAGCUACUGGGCGACCAGAUGCCAAUCUCGAAAAGCCGUUCUCAGUUCGGAUCGGAGUCUGCAACUCGACUCCGUGAAGCUGGAAUCACUAGUAAUCGCGCAUCAGCCAUGGCGCGGUGAAUACGUUCCCGGGCCUUGUACACACC